UGGGGAAUCUUGCUCAAUGGGCGCAAGCCUGAUGCAGCCAUGCCGCGUGAGUGAUGAAGGCCCUAGGGUUGUAAAGCUCUUUCAGUGGGGAAGAUAAUGACGGUACCCACAGAAGAAGCCCCGGCUAACUCCGUGCCAGCAGCCGCGGUAAUACGGAGGGGGCUAGCGUUGUUCGGAAUUACUGGGCGUAAAGCGCACGUAGGCGGACUAUUAAGUCAGGGGUGAAAUCCCGGGGCUCAACCCCGGAACUGCCUUUGAUACUGGUAGUCUUGAGUUCGAGAGAGGUGAGUGGAAUUCCGAGUGUAGAGGUGAAAUUCGUAGAUAUUCGGAGGAACACCAGUGGCGAAGGCGGCUCACUGGCUCGAUACUGACGCUGAGGUGCGAAAGCGUGGGGAGCAAACAGGAUUAGAUACCCCCGUAGUCC
rnacentral:rRNA from 1 species